GUGGGGAAUCUUCCGCAAUGGACGAAAGUCUGACGGAGCAACGCCGCGUGAGUGAAGAAGGUUUUCGGAUCGUAAAGCUCUUUCGUUAGGGACGAACGUGCUCUUUGUGAAUAAUGAGGAGUAAUGACGGUACCUAAAUAAGAAGCCACGGCUAACUACGUGCCAGCAGCCGCGGUAAUACGUAGGUGGCAAGCGUUGUCCGGAAUUAUUGGGCGUAAAGCGCGCGCAGGCGGGAUAGUAAGUCUGUCUUAAAAGUGCGAGGCUCAACCUCGUGAGGGGACAGAAACUGGUAGUCUUGAGUGUCGGAGAGGAAAGUGGAAUUCCAAGUGUAGCGGUGAAAUGCGUAGAGAUUUGGAAGAACACCAGUGGCGAAGGCGACUUUCUGGACGAUGUCUGACGCUGAGGCGCGAAAGCUAGGGGAGCGAACGGGAUUAGAAACCCGGGUAGUCC
rnacentral:rRNA from 1 species